UGCCUGGAGGAAAGGGGAGCAAGAGGUAAACUCUGCCACUAAAUUAUUAAAUAGAAUAGAUUGAGCAUUAUGUUACAGGUUGUGAGCAGUUAGUUAUUGAGUAGAAUUAGUAGGCCAUGGAUUCUAAUUUCAUAAAGAAGCUUCAUGUUCAAGAUAUCCUCCAGGCUCAGGCUGGACUCGACUUCUUAAAUAUCUUCUGUUCUCCUAUUUUCUAAAUUCUGCAUUAUUUUUCUUGUAUUUCUCUGCUCCUAAAUAAAGUUAUUUUUUCAAGAAACAUUGGGAGACAAGAAAUUAGUGGGUUUGUUUGCCUGCAGUUUUAUGUCAGAUGAUAGUGCAAUUACUCAGUGGCUAGAACAGUGCUUUGCUGAAUUGUUUUGUGCUAGAACAUUCUAAUUGUAUGUACUGCAGUGCAUCCUCACACCAGUGGUAGACCAUUUUUAUAAUCUUAUGAUACAAUAACACAGGGAUGGUUGUUUUAAUUUUUGGAGUGACAAUGUAAAGCAAAUUCUAAUUAGAAUUAGAAUAGAGAAAGGUCAUUAGCUAGGCUUUAUUGCCAAUGUGGAGCAAACCUCUUGCCAACAGCUUGUUUGUUGAAAUACUUGGGACUGAAAGAAUAUAUCCAAUCAGGCAUCACUCCUUGCAGGAAUUCUUAAGAAAUUAUAUUACUCAAUGGAGGUAUCUGUGUUGGCAGCCAGGCAGCAACAGCAUCAUGUGCAGCAUCAGAUAUUUAUAUUAAAGGAACCACCUAUCUAACAAUGGCUGAUGGCCGCUUGGCAAGAUGUUUUAUUAGGGGCUGGCUGGUUUGUAAAGAUUUCUGAAUCAUGUUUGAGGAAGAAGGCAGAAGCUUUACCUCUGUAUGGAUGUGUGUUUCUAAAUUUAGCUGUUUUGUUUUGGUAUGUUUAUUGGGAUGGGGACAUUAUUCAGCCUAUGCAUCUUUUUCAAAGUACAUCAUGUUCAAUCUGGACAUAUGAACUAUUGUAAUGAGAAUCAAGUUGAGUUGUCGAUGAGGCAAAGAAUCAAAUUGGAAUAAUAUUCGAAAUACUCCCUAGACAUUUGAAUAGAGCAAGAAUUACUUCCAAGCACA